ACGAGCCAUUCUGCAUCCCUUCAGCUUAUCAUUCGUGUGAGUCACAACCACCAUUUCGCAUGUUUUCGACGAAACAUUUCUCGACUUAUCCAUUACCCGUUGUAAAUUGUAUAAUUUGCAGGAGUUGAGUUUCCAGCGAAGUAUCAACCAAUCUCUCUCCACCUCCUUGCCAGCAGGUUACGAGCCAUUCUGCACCCCUGCAGCUUAUCAUUUUGUGAGCACAGCUCAAUUAUCAACCAAUCUCUCUCCACCGCCUUACCAGCAGGUUACGAGCCAUUCUGCACUUCUUCAGCUUGUCAUUUUGUGAACACAGUCCAAUUAUCAACCAAUCUCUCUCCAUCUCCUUACCAGCAGGUUACGAGCCAUUCUGCACCCCUUCAGCUUAUCGACAAUGGUGUCUUUCAUCAUUUAUGAAGGCUGGAGAGGAGGGCGGCGGGGAGCAAGGCGCCGACCAGGCCAAGGAUCUCGGCAACGGCAAAGGCACCGAGGUGAAGGAGGGAGCCAUCCUGCAAAUGGGCGUGGGUACGGAAGGGGUCGUGGUUUCGGAGGAUUCCGUGGUUUUGGUGCAAGACUAGCUGCUCCACGUAUAACGGACCCUGACGCGGCGCCUAGAGGAGUUGGAGCGAGGUGCUCCUCCAAGGGUUGCUGAAACCUCGCAUCAGCCCCCACCGCUUCCAGAAAUUCAGCAGCAACAACAACAACAACAGGCACUCAGUCCUCCUCUCGAUCUCAGUCAGGAGCAAGAGGACCAGCUCCUUAUGGAUAUGUAGUUGUUUGUUUAUUUUAUGAAAUAAAUACCAC